GACGAACGCUGGCGGCGUGCUUAACACAUGCAAGUCGAACGCUGAAGCUUGGUGCUUGCACUGGGUGGAUGAGUGGCGAACGGGUGAGUAAUACGUGAGUAACCUGCCCUUGACUCUGGGAUAAGCCUGGGAAACUGGGUCUAAUACUGGAUACGACAUGUCACCGCAUGGUGGUGUGUGGAAAGGGUUUUACUGGUUUUGGAUGGGCUCACGGCCUAUCGGCUUGUUGGUGGGGUAAUGGCUCACCAAGGCGACGACGGGUAGCCGGCCUGAGAGGGUGACCGGCCACACUGGGACUGAGACACGGCCCAGACUCCUACGGGAGGCAGCAGUGGGGAAUAUUGCACAAUGGGCGGAAGCCUGAUGCAGCGACGCCGCGUGAGGGAUGACGGCCUUCGGGUUGUAAACCUCUUUCAGCACGGAAGAAGCGAAAGUGACGGUACGUGCAGAAGAAGCGCCGGCUAACUACGUG
rnacentral:rRNA from 1 species